CAGUAGCCACGGGAAUACGAAGGGGGCUAGCAUUGUUCGGAUUUACUGGGCGUAAAGGGCGCGUAGGCGGACUGAUAAGUCAGGGGUGAGAUCCCAAGGCUCAACCUUGGAACUGCCUUUGAUACUGUUUGUCUUGAGUUCGAGAGAGGUAAGUGGAACUGCGAGUGUAGAGGUGAAAUUCGUAGAUAUUCGCAAGAACACCAGUGGCGAAGGCGGCUUACUGGCUCGAAACUGACGCUGAGGCGCGAAAGCGUGGGGAGCAAACAGGAUUAGAUACCCGGGUAGUCCCUGUCUCUUAUAC
rnacentral:rRNA from 1 species